rnacentral:rRNA from 1 species
AGUGAACGCUGGCGGUAGGCCUAACACAUGCAAGUCGAACGGCAGCACAGUAAGAGCUUGCUCUUACGGGUGGCGAGUGGCGGACGGGUGAGGAAUACAUCGGAAUCUACUUUUUCGUGGGGGAUAACGUAGGGAAACUUACGCUAAUACCGCAUACGACCUACGGGUGAAAGCAGGGGAUCUUCGGACCUUGCGCGAUUGAAUGAGCCGAUGUCGGAUUAGCUGGUUGGCGGGGUAAAGGCCCACCAAGGCGACGAUCCGUAGCUGGUCUGAGAGGAUGAUCAGCCACACUGGAACUGAGACACGGUUCAGACUCCUACGGGAGGCAGCAGUGGGGAAUAUUGGACAAUGGGCGCAAGCCUGAUCCAGCCAUACCGCGUGGGUGAAGAAGGCCUUCGGGUUGUAAAGCCCUUUUGUUGGGAAAGAAAAGCAGCAGGUUAAUACCCCGCUGUUCUGACGGUACCCAAAGAAUAAGCACCGGCUAACUUCGUG